AGUGAACGCUGGCGGUAGGCCUAACACAUGCAAGUCGAACGGCAGCACAGUAAGAGCUUGCUCUUACGGGUGGCGAGUGGCGGACGGGUGAGGAAUACAUCGGAAUCUACUUUUUCGUGGGGGAUAACGUAGGGAAACUUACGCUAAUACCGCAUACGACCUACGGGUGAAAGCAGGGGAUCUUCGGACCUUGCGCGAUUGAAUGAGCCGAUGUCGGAUUAGCUAGUUGGCGGGGUAAAGGCCCACCAAGGCGACGAUCCGUAGCUGGUCUGAGAGGAUGAUCAGCCACACCGGAACGGAGGCACGGUCCAGACUCCAACGGGAGGCAGCAGUGGCGAAUAUGGGACGAUGGAGGCAAGCCUGAUCGAGCCAGACCGCGUGGGUGAAGAAGGCCUUCGGUGUGUAAAGACCUUGUGUUGGGAAAGAAAAGCAGCAGGUUAAUACCCCGCGAUUCUGACGGUACCCAAAGAAGAAGCACCGGCUAACUUCGUG
rnacentral:rRNA from 1 species